rnacentral:rRNA from 1 species
GACGAACGCUGGCGGCGCGCCUAACACAUGCAAGUCGAACGGAGAUACCUGUUAGAUCCCUUCGGGGUGACGAUGGACUAUCUUAGUGGCGGACGGGUGAGUAACACGUGAGCAACCUGCCUUACAGAGUGGGAUAACGUUUGGAAACGAACGCUAAUACCGCAUAACAUUAACUUAUCGCAUGGUAAGAUAAUCAAAGAAAUUCGCUGUAAGAUGGGCUCGCGUCUGAUUAGAUAGUUGGUGAGGUAACGGCUCACCAAGUCGACGAUCAGUAGCCGGACUGAGAGGUUGAACGGCCACAUUGGGACUGAGACACGGCCCAGACUCCUACGGGAGGCAGCAGUGGGGAAUAUUGCACAAUGGGGGAAACCCUGAUGCAGCGACGCCGCGUGAGGGAAGAAGGUUUUCGGAUUGUAAACCUCUGUCUUCAGGGACGAUAGUGACGGU